rnacentral:lncRNA from 1 species
AGUGGAAGCAAGAGUGUUUUGCUGGAGAUCCCUGUGUGCUUGAGGCCUUCUGAAGGGAUGACUCACACCAUAACGCAUCAAGAAAGCCAUUUCCAACCACAAGGCUAUUUCUGAAAGAGUGCUUGGCACCGGUGGGGGAAUCUUGGCUACAAGUGGUUGGUUGUAGUGGCACAUGCAAUACCCAAAGGCAGACAUCCUGAUGAAUUUCUGACAGAGCAGGGUGGGAGAUAAUUCAUCCGGCAGCCCAAGGAGGACUCCGUACCUCUCUUCCAGAUAAUUGAACUUUAAUUUAUUUAAAUUUAAUGGAAAACCAUAUGGAGAGGAACAGAAAGCUAAUUUAAAGCACUGCUCAAAGCAAUCAAUAUGUUAACAGAUUCCUUCAACUUUUCACACUUGGUUGCUGAAAAAUGUUUAAAAUGUGUGUUCUUUUUUUUUUAGUGGUAUUAUGAAAACACAGGGUUUCUGGCGGGUUGUAUUCAAAACUCAAGAGCCAAAAUGAGCCUCUGUUGUGGAAAUGAAAAUGUACUUUGAAAGCACAAAUCUCACUAGAACUGAAAAUGACAACUAAGCCAUCUUGUCUCAAAAAAUAUGCAUCUCUGAAGUCUUCUAGGAAGACAGAUAUCAAUCCUAAAAUGUUCAAAUCACUGGUCUGCACAGAGCCCAGAAUAAAAGCAACGACACUGUGGUAUGGAUUACAUUAAUAUAUUGAAAUUGGCCACAGAGUACAGUAAGGAAUGCUUGAUGGAGUGCGUAUGGAUUGUUGCAGGAGACUGUAAAAUCACCAAGUAUGCACAUCAAGGACAAGAGAGAAAUGUUAUCAAUUUUCACAUUUUCCAUAUACAUUUGGUCCACCUCAAGGUCAAUUCUUUCCACACUGACUUUUGAAAACAGUCUUUCAGCAGAUAUUCAACAGCAGGAUAUCUACUAGUGUGUAUCUGCUCUUAGAUGUUGAUCUUCUAAGAUGCUGACUCUUGGAUGUUGACUCUGCCAUCCUGGGUUCAAAUGCUAAUGCUAUUUUGCUCGCAGCAACUUACACGUUGAUUUGAUUUUAUUAUAUAUUGAACAAAAUAUAGGUAAUAUCCUAGAAAAUGAUAAAUAUUCUAAUUAUACUUUCAUAAAGACAUAAUGGUUUAGUAAUGUCAAUGAGCUGUCAGCUUUGUAGACAUUGUUUGCCAUUUACAUCAUGGCUUCAGGCUUGAAGAGUACAGGCUGAAGAAGAAUGGAAGCCUACACUUUCCUCAUGUUUAUUAGCUUGAGAUUGUUAACGAGGCUGGAAGCUGAAAAGGGCAGAUACUCCCCACAAUGAACUUUCAGCAACCCUUACGAAAUCUUCUGGAAAUUCUAUAAAUAGUCUUCAGUCGAACCUCAUUGAGGGCAGGUCCAACUUCUCUGUGGCUUUUUUAAAGCAAAUUAUUCUAAACAGCAUUUUGGACGUUAUUUUUUGCAAGCAAAUGAUCCUUGCAGCCUUUUUCAUUAUCUCAGGCCUGGAAUUCAUUUCAGAUUUGGCAAGUCCUCUCCUCAAAUUCAUGAGCAUGAGCUCCACAGACAUACCUCAAAAGGAAAAUGUAUAAAUAAUGUCUACAGUGGCUUUUUAUUUUUGUUUUAUUUUACUUCAUUUUUAAAAAAAUUAUUAUUGUUAAGAUAAGAUUACGUUUCUUCUAUUCCUUUGCAUCUUUUCCUUCUGGAUUUGUUCUGUGCUGGGAUAGUCCCAACUAUAGAGCAACAGGUAAUUAAAAUUUGGAGGUCCU